CGGGGUGCAGCAGGCGCGAAAACUUUACAAUGCGGGAAACCGUGAUAAGGGGACACCGAGUGCCAGCAUCAUAUGCUGGCUGUCCGGGUGUGUAAAAUACACCCGUUAGCAAGGGCCGGGCAAGACCGGUGCCAGCCGCCGCGGUAACACCGGCGGCCCGAGUGGUGAUCGUGAUUAUUGGGUCUAAAGGGUCCGUAGCCGGUUUGGUCAGUCCUCCGGGAAAUCUGACGGCUCAACCGUUAGGCUUUCGGGGGAUACCGCCAGGCUUGGAACCGGGAGAGGUAAGAGGUACUACAGGGGUAGGAGUGAAAUCUUGUAAUCCCUGUGAGACCACCUGUGGCGAAGGCGUCUUACCAGAACGGGUUCGACGGUGAGGGACGAAAGCUGGGGGCACGAACCGGAUUAGAUACCCGGGUAGUCCCAGCCGUAAACGAUGCUCGCUAGGUGUCAGGCAUGGCGCGACCGUGUCUGGUGCCGCAGGGAAGCCGUGAAGCGAGCCACCUGGGAAGUACGGCCGCAAGGCUGAAACUUAAAGGAAUUGGCGGGGGAGCACAAGGGCGAUUCGC
rnacentral:rRNA from 1 species